rnacentral:rRNA from 1 species
AUUGAACGCUGGCGGCAUGCUUUACACAUGCAAGUCGAACGGUAACAGGCCUUCGGGUGCUGACGAGUGGCGAACGGGUGAGUAAUGCAUCGGAACGUACCCAGAGGUGGGGGAUAACGCAGCGAAAGCUGUGCUAAUACCGCAUGUGAUCUGAGGAUGAAAGCGGGGGACCGAGCAGCAAUGUUUGGCCUCGCGCCUUUGGAGCGGCCGAUGUCGGAUUAGCUAGUUGGUGGGGUAAAGGCCUACCAAGGCGACGAUCCGUAGCUGGUCUGAGAGGACGACCAGCCACACUGGGACUGAGACACGGCCCAGACUCCUACGGGAGGCAGCAGUGGGGAAUUUUGGACAAUGGGCGCAAGCCUGAUCCAGCAAUGCCGCGUGCGGGAAGAAGGCCUUCGGGUUGUAAACCGCUUUUGGCAAGAACGAAACGGUGUCCGCUAAUACCGGGCGCUAAUGACGGUACCUGCAGAAUAAGCACCGGCUAACUACGUG